rnacentral:lncRNA from 1 species
AUAAUUUUAUGGACAGUAUCUUAUGUUUUCAUCUGAUCUUGAUUCUCAUUGUCUAAAUUUAAAUUCAGGAAUAAUUUUAAAUGUUUACAAAAUAGUAAUUAUCCUUUUUAUUUUUCUCAUUUGAUUUCAUUAAAUUGGAAUUUAUUAAAUAAAGUAUGAAGUCAGCAAAGAAUUUAUUUGAGAAUUUUUUACUAAAAGUAUUGUUGGUAAUCUGAUCUCUUUAAAGUUCUGUUUACAUACAAAGCAUUAUGAUAAUAAGUAUGAUCCCUAAAUGGAUAAGAAAAUAAAGAUCUUAAAUAAUGGGCAACACUAAAAAAAUUCUGCUAAUUACCAAUGCUAAUCAAAUGAAUGCUGCUAACCAAACAUAUUCUGCAAAAAAUAGGUAAUGGGCUGCAUAAAGGACAACACAUGAGCAGCUUGUGUCAAGUUGCAUCAAGAAUAAUACAAUGCACAGGAGUGUGUGAGUUGUGUGCAACAUACAAUACAGAUUUGGAUACUACUAGGCAACAAUUCCACAAGUCAUUCCAUUGCAUCACUGAAUGCACUAUGCUGUUGCUGACACAUCUUAGAAAUCUAAGCCAAUGGCAAGUGGUAGCAGGCUAAGUAAAAUCUUAAUCAUUUGUUACUUAUAUGCAAGUAGUAAAAUAUCUUGAAUUGUUAGAACUAAUUAAAAAUGGCUCUGAAGUUUUAUUAGAAAAAGCUUAAUAUUAAAAUAUUUUAAAAUUUAAGAGAUUUGGAAUGAUUUUUUCAAUAUUUCCUUAUCUGUUGCUUAUAUUUUAGAUGACAAAAAAAUUCGAGGAG